rnacentral:rRNA from 1 species
AUUGAACGCUGGCGGCAUGCUUUACACAUGCAAGUCGAACGGCAGCGCGGGCUUCGGCCUGGCGGCGAGUGGCGCACGGGUGAGUGAUGCAUCGGAACGUGCUCCGUAGUGGGGGGUAGCCCGGCGAAAGCCGGAUUAAUACCGCAUACGACCUGCGGGUGAAAGCGGGGGACCGAAGGGCCUCGUGCGCUUGGAGCGGCGGAUGUCGGAUUGGCUAGUUGGUGGGGUAAAGGCUUACCAAGGCGACGAUCCGUAGCUGGUCUGAGAGGCCGAGCAGCCACACGGGGACUGAGCCACGGCCCAGACUCCUACGGGAGGCAGCAGUGGGGAAUUUUGGACAAUGGUGGCAACCCUGAUCCAGCCAUGCCGCGUGCGGGAAGAAGGCCUUCGGGUUGGAAACCGCUUUUGUUCGGGAAGAAAUCCUCUGGGCUAAUACCCCGGGGGGAUGACGGUACCGGAAGAAGAAGCACCGGCUAACUACGUG